UACUGAGUACUACACUCUCUACCCUUUGUGAACUAUUAUACCUGUUGCUUCGGCGGCGCCCGCAAGGGUGCCCGCCGGUCUCAUCAGAAUCUCUGUUUUCGAACCCGACGAUACUUCUGAGUGUUCUUAGCGAACUGUCAAAACUUUUAACAACGGAUCUCUUGGCUCCAGCAUCGAUGAAGAACGCAGCGAAACGCGAUAUGUAAUGUGAAUUGCAGAAUUCAGUGAAUCAUCGAAUCUUUGAACGCACAUGGCGCCUUCCAGUAUCCUGGGAGGCAUGCCUGUCCGAGCGUCGUUUCAACCCUCGAGCCCCUGUGGCCCGGCGUUGGGGAUCUGCCACGGCAGGCCCCUAAAACCAGUGGCGGACCCGAAGGGCCCUCUCCUUUGCGCAGUAGCAUUCGCCUCGCAUCGGGAGUCCUCGGCGUCCUGCCUCUAAACCCCCCACAAGCCCGCUUCGGCGGCACCAAGGUUGACCUCGGAUCAGGUAGGAAUACCCGCUGAACUUAAGCAUAUCAAUAAGCGGAGGAAAAGAAACCAACAGGGAUUGCCUCAGUAACGGCGAGUGAAGCGGCAACAGCUCAAAUUUGAAAUCUGGCUCCUUCGGGGUCCGAGUUGUAAUUUGCAGAGGAUGCGUCGGGUACGGGUCCCUACCGAGUUCCCUGGAACGGGACGCCAUAGAGGGUGAGAGCCCCGUCUGGUAGAUACCCAGCCCAUGUGACGCUCCCUCGACGAGUCGAGUAGUUUGGGAAUGCUGCUCUAACGGGAGGUAUACU
rnacentral:rRNA from 1 species